GUGGGGAAUAUUCCGCAAUGGACGAAAGUCUGACGGAGCAACGCCGCGUGAGUGAUGAAGGUUUUCGGACUGUAAAGCUCUGUUGUUUAGGACGAAAGUGCCUGUUGCAAAUAGUUACAGGUAUUGACGGUACUGAACGAGGAAGCCACGGCUAACUACGUGCCAGCAGCCGCGGUAAUACGUAGGUGGCAAGCGUGGUCCGGAAUUAUUGGGCGUAAACAGCAUGUAGGCGGGAAUCUAAGUCUGUUGUGAAAAUGCGGGGCUCAACCCCGUAUUGCGAUGGAAACUGGGUUUCUUGAGUGCAGGAGAGGAAAGGGGAAUUCCCAGUGUAGCGGUGAAAUGCGUAGAUAUUGGGAGGAACACCAGUGGCGAAGGCGCCUUUCUGGACUGUGUCUGACGCUGAGAUGCGAAAGCCAGGGUAGCGAACGGGAUUAGAAACCCUAGUAGUCC
rnacentral:rRNA from 1 species